rnacentral:misc_RNA from 1 species
GGAAAAACGGAGAGAAAUUUGGGGCAAAUAAAUGGGUUGGUGGUGACGGCAGCGACACGACUGCGAUUUUUUUAGAUUUGAUCGGAGACACAUAGUUGUCAUCUUCAUCAAUCUAAGAUAAAAAUGCAAGGUAGCAUCUAUUCGAGGUGUUUUAGGGGUAGGGAGUUGUUGCUCCACAAAGCACAAAAAAUGAUUUUGAAUUACAUCCCUUCUCGCCCUUUACCUUCCCAACUACUAAACCCUCCAAAUUAUCGAACUCAUCUUUCAACCAUUAAACGAUACCCAUACCCAUGGGAUUCUUCAAGAACCGGUUUCAAACAAAUCAAGGCAUUCAUUUCUGAGUUUCCUGCUAAAAACCCUGAUGGAAAAUCAAAUGGGCAUGCCAUGUUUUCAACAUCUUCAGCUGGCGAAAAAAAGCCUCUCCUCAACAAGGAACAAACUCAGCCUGCAACGGAAGCCGAUCAAAUAUCUAAUGCCAGAAUUAUAAGCACUCUCGCUAAAUACUUGUGGAUGAAGGAUAAUUUUGAGUUCCGCUUUCGCGUUAUUGCUGCCUUGACUUUACUAGUUGGUGCAAAGGUUGUGAAUGUUCAAGUACCAUUCUUAUUUAAGCUUGCUGUUGAUUGGUUGUCAACAGCUACUGGCAAUGCUAGCGCGCUUGCAGAGUUUACUACUGCCAACUCUACUGUUUUGGCUCUUUUCGUAAGUCCUGCUGCGGUCUUGAUUGGGUAUGGUAUUGCACGAUCAGGGGCAUCCGCUUUCAACGAAUUGCGAACUGCAAUUUUCUCAAAGGUCGCACUCCGCACUAUUCGGUCAGUUUCACGGAAGGUCUUUUCGCACUUGCAUGAACUCGAUCUGCAAUAUCACCUUAGUCGAGAAACAGGUGGUCUUAAUCGGGUCAUUGACCGUGGUAGCCGAGCUAUCAAUUUUAUUCUUUCGUCAAUGGUUUUCAAUGUUUUCCCGACGAUAUUGGAGAUAUCAAUGGUAUCAGGUAUACUUGCAUACAGAUUUGGAGCUUCCUUUGCAUGGAUUACAUCACUGUCAGUGGCUGCAUAUAUCGCUUUCACCUUAAGUAUUACCCAGUGGCGAACUAAGUUUAGGAAGGAGAUGAAUAAAGCUGAUAAUGAUGCAAGCACACGAGCAAUCGAUUCUCUUAUCAACUAUGAGACUGUUAAGUACUUUAACAAUGAGGUGUAUGAAACCGAGAAGUAUGAUCACUUUUUAAAGAGAUAUGAAGAUGCUGCCUUAAAGACACAACGUAGUCUUGCAAUCUUAAACUUUGGGCAAAGUGCAAUAUUCAGCAUAGCUCUCUCAGCUGCUAUGGUUUUAUGUUCUAAUGGGAUUAUGAAUGGUGUCAUGACUGUUGGUGACUUGGUCAUGGUAAACGGGCUGCUGUUCCAGCUAUCGCUUCCACUGAAUUUCCUUGGUAGCGUAUAUCGUGAGACCAUCCAAAGUUUAGUGGACAUGAAAUCAAUGUUUCAGUUACUAGAGGAAAAAGCUCAAAUCGGAGAUGCAG